UCGAGGGGUAACGAUGGCUUCGGCCAGGCGACGACCGGCGCACGGGUGCGUAACACGUAUGCAACCUACCUUCAACUGGGGAAUAGCCCCGAGAAAUCGGGAUUAAUACCCCAUAAUGUUUAUCAUUCGCAUGUUUGAUAAAUUAAAACUCCGGUGGUUGAAGAUGGGCAUGCGCGACAUUAGUUAGUUGGUGAGGUAACGGCUCACCAAGACCGCGAUGUCUAGGGGUUCUGAGAGGACUAUCCCCCACACUGGUACUGAGACACGGACCAGACUCCUACGGGAGGCAGCAGUAAGGAAUAUUGGUCAAUGGACGAAAGUCUGAACCAGCCAUGCCGCGUGCAGGAUGACAGCCCUAUGGGUUGUAAACUGCUUUUAUAUAGGAAGAAACUCAUGCUCGUGAGCGUGACUGACGGUACUAUAUGAAUAAGGACCGGCUAACUCCGUGCCAGCAGCCGCGGUAAUACGGAGGGUCCAAGCGUUAUCCGGAUUCAUUGGGUUUAAAGGGUGCGCAGGCGGACCGAUAAGUCAGUGGUGAAAUCCUACAGCUCAACUGUAGAACUGCCAUUGAUACUGUCGAUCUUGAGUAUAGUUGAAGUGGGCGGAAUGUAUCAUGUAGCGGUGAAAUGCAUAGAUAUGAUACAGAACUCCGAUAGCGAAGGCAGCUCACUAACCUAUAACUGACGCUCAGGCACGAAAGCGUGG
rnacentral:rRNA from 1 species